GCCGAAGCGUACCCGGCCGGAAGCCGCUGUCGGGGAGCCGGCGGUGGGGCUGGACGCAGGUGCAACUGACAUGGGUGAACCCCGGGGGUCCAUGCGGAUUCUAGUGACAGGGGGCUCUGGACUGGUAGGCAAAGCCAUCCAGAAGGUGGUAGCAGAUGGAGCUGGACUUCCUGGAGAGGACUGGGUGUUUGUUUCCUCUAAAGAUGCCGAUCUCACGGAUGCAGCACAGACCCGCGCCCUGUUUGAGAAGGUCCGACCCACACACGUCAUCCAUCUUGCUGCAAUGGUGGGGGGCCUGUUCCGGAAUAUCAAAUACAAUUUGGACUUCUGGAGGAAAAAUGUGCACAUCAACGACAACGUCCUGCACUCAGCCUUCGAGGUGGGCGCCCGCAAGGUGGUGUCCUGCCUGUCCACCUGUAUCUUCCCUGACAAGACGACCUACCCCAUAGAUGAGACCAUGAUCCACAAUGGGCCGCCCCACAGCAGCAAUUUUGGGUACUCGUAUGCCAAGAGGAUGAUCGACGUGCAGAACAGGUCCUCACGCCCAUCCUGCUGAGGCCCAGCCAGGAGUGGGGGAGAGGGCCCCCAGGGGCGGGUGAGGCCGGCUGGUCGGGUCUUCGUGCCAGCCUCAGUAAGAGGCCAGCGGCAUCCUGGGGUGGGAUCACGGGCCCAGGACGAGGGCAGGAGACGCUGUGCCUCCGCAGGGCCUACUUCCAGCAGUACGGCUGCACCUUCACCGCUGUCAUCCCCACCAACGUCUUCGGGCCCCACGACAACUUCAACAUCGAGGAUGGCCACGUGCUGCCUGGCCUCAUCCACAAGGUGCACCUGGCCAAGAGCAGCGGCUCGGCCCUGACAGUGUGGGGUACGGGGAAGCCGCGGAGGCAGUUCAUAUACUCGCUGGACCUGGCCCAGCUGUUUAUCUGGGUCCUGCGGGAGUACAAUGAAGUG
rnacentral:sRNA from 1 species